UACGGAGGAUGCGAGCGUUAUCCGGAUUUAUUGGGUUUAAAGGGUGCGUAGGCCGACUUUUAAGUCAGCGGUGAAAUUUUCCGGCUCAACCGGGACAUUGCCGUUGAAACUGAUAGUCUUGAGUGUAAAUGAGGUAGGCGGAAUGUGUGGUGUAGCGGUGAAAUGCGUAGAUAUCGGGAGGAACACCGGUGGCGAAGGCGGCUUUCUGGCCAGUUACUGACGCUCAUGCGCGAAAGCUGGGGUAGCGAACCGGAUUAGAUACCCGGGUAGUCCCUGAGCGGG
rnacentral:rRNA from 1 species